ensembl:misc_RNA Y_RNA Y RNA
AACGCAGUAGCAUUUACAACUAAUUGAUCACAAGCAGUUACAGAUCUCUUUGUUCCUUCUCCACUUCCACUGCUUCACU